GGAUGAACGCUGGCGGCGUGCCUAAUACAUGCAAGUCGAGCGAACUGAUUAGAAGCUUGCUUCUAUGACGUUAGCGGCGGACGGGUGAGUAACACGUGGGCAACCUGCCUGUAAGACUGGGAUAACUUCGGGAAACCGAAGCUAAUACCGGAUAGGAUCUUCUCCUUCAUGGGAGAUGAUUGAAAGAUGGUUUCGGCUAUCACUURCAGAUGGGCCCGCGGUGCAUUAGCUAGUUGGUGAGGUAACGGCUCACCAAGGCAACGAUGCAUAGCCGACCUGAGAGGGUGAUCGGCCACACUGGGACUGAGACACGGCCCAGACUCCUACGGGAGGCAGCAGUAGGGAAUCUUCCGCAAUGGACGAAAGUCUGACGGAGCAACGCCGCGUGAGUGAUGAAGGCUUUCGGGUCGUAAAACUCUGUUGUUAGGGAAGAACAAGUACRAGAGUAACUGCUYGUACCUUGACGGUACCUAACCAGAAAGCCACGGCUAACUMCGUGC
rnacentral:rRNA from 2 species